GUAAAAUUUUAAAAUUUAGAAGUUACUUAUAUCAUUAUUAAUGUUAAUGUAAAAUUGCUUCUUUUUUUGUCACACAUAUUUCAUUAAUAUAGAAAGUGGUCUGAGACCCAGAGUCAGCCCAUGAAUGGAUCCAUAAUCAAAGAAGAAGACAGAGAUUGCUUAGCCAACGAAUCGGUUUCAGUGUUCAUCAAACGAGAAAAGUAAGAAAAAGAUAUUUCGAUGAAAACAGAGGAGAUUUUUGCUUGAUAUCUCUGACGAUAUUGAAGAUUUUCUUGAUGUGCAUGUCAUUCUUUAUAGCUCAGAUGUACGUUGUGUUGUCAGAGAAUAAUCAGAGCUUUGGAAGCCCUAGGUUCACUGCAGAGAGAAGACCUGAUCGGAGAGCAAUCGCCUCAGCGAUCAGAGGGGAAUUAACGAAUUCAUGUGUUGCAGCCCCUUGAUUGAUAUGGGAUCCAGCCGAAUCUGUCAGAAUCCAAGCCACUCGUUUGAACUGACCCAUGUGCAGAAGUCCAUUCUCUUGCCAAUCUUAACCCUUUGUAGCGAUCUCUGCAGGUGAGAAAGUUUUGCUUUCAAAAAUAAGUAGAUUCUGAGCAUUCCAAAGUGCCCAACAGAUCUAUGGGAGUAUUGUAUUCGUGAUUUCUGUUGGUGGGAGACAUAUCACAUGUUUGAAGGCUACCAUUGCUUCCUUGAAACUUUUCUCUGUAGCUAGGUGAAUUACUUGUUUGAGGGGAACAUGAUUUCAAACUUCUUGCGCAAAGAGGCAUUGAAAGAAGUUGAAUGGGUCAGGUGGAAUUGUUGUGCUAGACGGCUUUUAUCGAUGCUGAGAAGUAACCCGAACGUGUAGUGUAUUCUCCAAACGGUAGUGGCUGCCACACAAAGGUGCGCUAAUAUGCAGGUUGAAGUCUGGAUCAGUUUAUUUCAAAUGUAGGAACCACCCAUGCUAAUUCCAUUAAUGUAAAAUCAUUUUUUAUUAUUAUUAUUUCAAUAAUUCCAUUCAAUUCGGUUAAAGUUA